rnacentral:rRNA from 1 species
CCUACGGGAGGCAGCAGUGAGGAAUAUUGGUCAAUGGGCGCUAGCCUGAACCAGCCAAGUAGCGUGAAGGAUGACUGCCCUAUGGGUUGUAAACUUCUUUUAUAUGGGAAUAAAGUGCAGCAUGUAUACUGCUUUGCAUGUACCUUAUGAAUAAGGAUCGGCUAACUCCGUGCCAGCAGCCGCGGUAAUACGGAGGAUCCGAGCGUUAUCCGGAUUUUUUGGGUUUAAAGGGAGCGUAGGCGGGUUGUUAAGUCAGUUGUGAAAGUUUGCGGCUCAACCGUAAAAUUGCAGUUGAUACUGGCAUCCUUGAGUGCAGUGGAGGUAGGCGGAAUUCGUGGUGUAGCGGUGAAAUGCUUAGAUAUCACGAAGAACUCCGAUUGCGAAGGCAGCCUGCUGGACUGUAACUGACGCUGAUGCUCGAAAGUGUGGGUAUCGAACAGGAUUAGAUACCCCUGUAGUC